GCGCGAUUAGCUCAGUGGUAGAGCGCUUGCUUCACACGCAAGAAGUCGCAGGUUCGAAUCCUGCAUCGCGCA
rnacentral:tRNA from 1 species